GCUAAGAUUAAGGAGACGUUUUCUCCCCUCCUAAUUUCUACCAACAAUUUAAUAUCAAUAAUAUGUAUGCGAUUAUAAAAAAUAUCAAAAGUAUUAUUCCAAACGCAAAAUCUUUUUGAAAUCUCAUCGAUAAUACAUGCUGAAAACGUGUGUGUGAUAUACAGUUGCCGAAGAACUUCAAGAAAAGGAAACAUUUCAAUGGUUUCAUGAUACCGCCGGUAAUCAAAGAUUCCCAUUGGAUACAAUAGUUGCAAUGAAGUUGAAGGCAGAAGAAUAAAAAAUAAUGGAAGAAACUUGUAUAUAUCUGAUGCAGAUGAAGUGCAAAUAAAUAAAAUGAAUAAAUAAAUUAAAUUUGAAAUCAUAAACAAUUUUAAGUUGCAAAAUGUGAAGGUGGUCCUGUACAAACAAUUUGCCCUGGCAAAGUCUCUUUGUUGAUUUUUCAUCUUUUAAACAAACUUUUUGUACAAGCUUGAUUCUUAACAUGUUACAAAAUGCGAAAACAUUACCUGUAAUGCACAAUAAUAUUUAUAAAACUUUAUAACACUAAAA